rnacentral:lncRNA from 1 species
AAAUUACAAUUUUUUAAGGUGAGACAUUUUGACUUUCUAGCUCUUCAUCUCUUUCAGAAUCCUAUAAUGUAUGCAGGGAAAAAAGGAUCUACAAAAAUCACUAAUGUCCCUAAUGGUCUCUACAUAGAGGCAGAUGAUGUCUUCAAGGGGCUCAAGACUGUUAUGUGUCUGUGGCAGAGUCUCCACUGGUAGUCUCUACCACUAUGCUGAUUUACAUCAUUUGAGUGUCCAGCCUACUAACUGAACAGCUAAUGUGUUUUCACAGAUACUAAAAACUAGUGCUUCCAGUCUGUUUUUGUAAGGACAUAAUUUCAUAGCAAAGGGAAAGACCUCCAUCUUUAAACUAUAAAGAACUUUUGCCCCGAGUAAACCAAGUGUCAGCAACCAACGUUUUUCAGAUGGCUUCACUUGCAAAUGGGAAUUUAUUUCCUACAGAGUUGAGGUCAGCAAGAAAAAAAGAUGAAGACAGAGACUUCCGCAAUGCCACAAAACAUGGCUUUAACAGAAAAAGAGAAGUUCAUUAAAAUAAAAAUCUUGGAGUUAAGCAAGAACAUCACCCAUUUAGGAAGGUGGAAGAUCUCGGUAGCAGGACCUUCCAAAACACUUGUGCCUUUGGCAAAAUGACCGCAGUGCUUCACCAUAGCCUUCACUACUCCCACGUAGUAUCAUUUUAUGUCACUGGUAUCUGCAGUGCUAGAACAGCCUAGGGAUGGGAGAGCACCAGCAUUUCUGCACGCUUCCUGCAUCCUGGGGAUUGCAGCUGUGAAGCAGAGCAGGGUGCACUUUCUAUCGCAUCUCUCAAAUAUAGUCUUGAAUGCAACUUCUGUCAUUAAGAAAUAUUUCCUAAACAGACUCCAUACCCCCACUUUCCAUCUGAUAAUCAUCUCCUUGUGUUUGUGGUAAGUCAACAUCCUUCAUCUUUGCCUUAUGAGGAAAAGCUAUGGCUGUGAGCACUCAAAAAUUCCCUCAGCGCUUGCAGAUGCCUAUGAUAACAAACAACAGAAAGCAUCUAACACGCUUUUUUCCUUUCCUUACAGAGACAAGCACUUCACUCAAAAGAGAGCAGGUCCCAUACCAGCUUUCUGCCUGUGCGAUUUACCAAGUUAUAGCACAUGCUUAGCUCUCAAAUUUGAAAAUGAAGAAAGGAGACACAUGAUGCAGCACACAGCCACCUUUGGCAGCCACGUUUUUGGUCUCUCCCUGCUUUCCACACCAAUCCCCACUCCUCAGAGGGGAGUCAGUGCCCCGUGAUGCUGGGUGGGCCCGAGGAAAGGCUCCUUCCUCACGCCCGCCUUCCCUGUUAGCAGCAGCAGAGUGCUGGGUGCUAUAUACAGAGGACCCUGGGAAGCCAUGUGGAGCCAAAUCUACACAGCAACAGGGAAUGGAGAUGGGAAAUAAAGUCAUCUGCUACAAGUGGCAAGAGGACAGCAGUAGUAUUUACUUACUUCUUGCUCAUAUACACCUUUCCUACAGCUCAUGUACAACUGACCAAGCCCAUGAGACUCAUCCUGUUUUCCACCGUGAAAACAAAGAGAAGCAGGGAGGCUUAAGGCUGGGAGAAAAUGGAGCUGAUUUAGGAAACAUGAGACAAACAGCAAGAGGGUAACGGGGAAAAGAGAGAGUAAGAAAAUGAAAGAGAACUAAGGAAGGACCAUGGAGCUUAAGUAAAGAUCUGUGGAACUACAGAAGGCACAGUGGGAAGAGCAGCAUUAAAAAGGGUCAAGAAGCAGGACAGGGAAAGAGAAAACAAUGGCUACAACAACCACAAAAACCAGAAGGAGCUGGAAGAUAUUUUGAAGGUGGCCAUAGAGUGGUUUGAAAGGGUGUGAGUGGGAAAGAGGAAAUGCAAGAAGGGGAAC